GACCUGCGGAGGGAUCAUUACCGAGUUAGGGUCUCACCGGCCCGAUCUCCCAACCCUUUGUCUACUUGACCAUCGUUGCUUCGGCGAGCCCGUCCACACGGACCGCCGGGGGGUCUUUGCACCCCUUGGCCCGCGCUCGUCGAUAGCCCCCAAAUUUAAAAAUCUUAACUAAACGUGUCUUGAAUCUAAGUAUUAUUGUUAAAUAAAAACAAAACUUUCAACAACGGAUCUCUUGGUUCUGGCAUCGAUGAAGAACGCAGCGAAAUGCGAUAAGUAAUGCGAAUUGCAGAAUUCCAGUGAGUCAUCGAAUCUUUGAACGCACAUUGCGCCCUUUGGUAUUCCGAAGGGCAUGCCUGUUCGAGCGUCAUUAUCACCCCUCAAGCCCUCGGCUUGGUGUUGGACGGUUUGGUGGAGACCCCCUUCGCGGGCUUCUACCCCUCCCAAAGACAAUGACGGCGGCCUCGUUGGACCCCCGGUACACUGAGUUCUUCACGGGACACGUAUCGGACACAUGGGUUUACGGGACACGGUCUGCCUCCCCUCAGGGAGAAUCUUCUUUUAUCAAGGUUGACCUCGGAUCAGGUAGGGAUACCCGCUGAACUUAAGCAUAUCAAUAAGCGGAGGAAAAGAAACCAACAGGGAUUGCCUCAGUAACGGCGAGUGAAGCGGCAACAGCUCAAAUUUGAAAUCUGGCCUCUUUGGGGUCCGAGUUGUAAUUUGUAGAGGAUGUUUCGGGUACCGCCUCGGUUUAAAUUUC
rnacentral:rRNA from 1 species